UUAGCCAUAUCUCAUUCCAUGAGCAUAGAUACAAAUAUAAAAAGAUUAAAAAAACAUAAUGAAUCAAUGACCGUUGUUUGGCCAUAUGUUUGGUUCCACUUUUUUGAGUUAAUUUUAGAAUUUGUUUUUGAAAAAUGUUUUUGGACAAGUGAUCAUUGUUUGGUUGUUGAAGUUAAAUUCAAUUAUCGAUUCAAAUGUUAAUUAAGAAUGUUAUUUUUUUUCUCUUGUUAAGAAAAUAAAAUAAGUUGGAAUUCAAGCUGAUAUAAAUUGUGAGUUUAAUUAUUUAAAAUGAAUGGUUGGUUGUUUAGCUUGAAAUAAUAGUGCGGGAGUUUUCAUUGUCUUUUACAUUUAGGAAUGUACAUAGCAAUGAGUGGAUAGACUUCUGAUUUUCAUAGCUUUUGAGUUGUCUUCCAAAGGAAUAGCGAUGUAGUUGCAAUUGUCAUCCCGGAAUUUGUUAUGUACAGAAUUUUGGGACCUUUUGGGAUGCUGAUGAAAGGAUUCUGAAUUAUAUCUUGGCCGGUAGUGAUUGAAGAUACAAAGCAAUGAAAAGAGGCUGCUUGUGGAUAAAGUGGAGAAAGUAUGGAAAUAUGAACAGUUUAUUUCCUUUUGCUCAUUGAGAUGUGAAGUAAUUCAAUAUAGAAAGAUUGACUAAAGUUGGUUUGCAGCAUCAUUGGUGGUGAUAGAAUCACUGUUGAACCCACUCUUGAAGCUAUCUGGGAUAGAUGGGCUUUAUGAGACAUUUGGGAACUUAUGCUUAGCUCAUAGCAAAGAGUUUGAAUGCAGAAUCUUGAGGUAGCUAGAGGUAUAGUCAUGCGUGUUUAUGGACAUGAGUUUGUCGGUGCACUAAUUAUAAGUUGUGCUUAUACGAAGAGUUUUUGAUAUAUUUUGCAUCAAACAAAUAUGUCAUGCACUUGGAUAUGAAUGGUUUGGAAAAUUUUUGAUGAUUUUGUUAAAUAUGUUUUUGAUAUGGUGAAUUCAUUGUAAACUAAAUGGAUGAAUGGGUGGUUAUUUUGUAAACUAAAUGGAUGGAUGGAUGAAUGGUUAUUUUGUCAA